rnacentral:rRNA from 1 species
GACGAACGCUGGCGGCGUGCUUAACACAUGCAAGUCGAACGAAGAGCGAUGGAAGCUUGCUUCUAUCAAUCUUAGUGGCGAACGGGUGAGUAACGCGUAAUCAACCUGCCCUUCAGAGGGGGACAACAGUUGGAAACGACUGCUAAUACCGCAUACGAUCCAAUCUCGGCAUCGGGACUGGAUGAAAGGUGGCCUCUAUUUAUAAGCUAUCACUGAAGGAGGGGAUUGCGUCUGAUUAGCUAGUUGGAGGGGUAACGGCCCACCAAGGCGAUGAUCAGUAGCCGGUCUGAGGGGAUGAACGGCCACAUUGGGACUGGGACACGGCCCAGAAUCCUACGGGAGGCAGCAGUGGGGAAUCUUCCGCAAUGGACGAAAGUCUGACGGAGCAACGCCGCGUGAGUGAUGACGGCCUUCGGGUUGUAAAGCUCUGUUAAUCGGGACGAAUGGUUCUUGUGCGAAUAGUGCGAGGAUUUGACGGUACCGGAAUAGAAAGCCACGGCUAACUACGUG